rnacentral:ncRNA from 1 species
UAUUAUUCAUUUUCAUGUUGUCUCCUUUCUAUUUGAUAGAAAUUUGAUAGAGUUCAACUAAAUGUUUAGGUGUACGACAACCUUGUGUCAGGAGCUAAAGGAUAGUCUUAGGUAGACAGUUUCUAUGGGGCGUAGGCCAUCCAAAAGGUAACAGAGGUGUGCAAAUGUUUCAUUGGGCCAGAUGGGGAUUGGUCCUCUAGUGAAAAGGAAGAAAGGAGCUUGGCUACAAGACCCGCUCGUUGAGUAGGGACGAAAGUCAACCUUAAUGUUCCAAUGGUGCCAAAUGGAAGGGUCAUCGCUCAACAGAUAAAAGUUGCUCUAAGUAUUAUAGGUUGAUCUUCUCUAAUAGCUCACACCAACGGGAAGGUUUGCAACACGAUGUCAGCUCUUCGCCACCUAGGGCUGUAGUAUGUUCCAAGGGUUGGGCUGUUCGCCCAUUAAAGCGAUACGUGAGCUAGGUUCAGAAUAUCGUGAGAUAGUGCAUUAGAACAUUGAGAGGACCUUUCCCUAGUAUGAGAGGACCGGAAAGGACGCACCUCUGGUGUACCAAUUAUCGUGCCCACAGUAAACGCUAGGUAGCCAAGUGCGGAGCAGAUAACUGCUGAAAUUUGGCAUACCUAAAACUGACAUGCUAAUAUUUAAAAUGAUCACCAUAAUAAAGACAAUGUCAGUAUCACUUUAUUUUUU